rnacentral:tRNA from 1 species
ACCUGGCUGGCUCAAUUGGAAGAGCAUGUGACUCUUGAUCACAGGGUUGUGAGUUUGAGCCCCAUGUUGGGUG